rnacentral:rRNA from 1 species
GGACGAACGCUGGCGGCGUGCCUAACACAUGCAAGUCGAACGGGGUGAGUCCUUCGGGAUCACUUAGUGGCGAACGGGUGAGUAACGCGUGAGUAACCUGCCUCUCAGAGUGGAAUAACAUUUGGAAACGAAUGGUAAUACCGCAUGAUGUCACGGAACCGCAUGAUUCUGUGACCAAAGGAGCAAUCCGCUGAGAGAUGGACUCGCGUCCGAUUAGCUAGUUGGAGAGGUAACGGCUCCCCAAGGCGACGAUCGGUAGCCGGACUGAGAGGUUGAACGGCCACAUUGGGACUGAGACACGGCCCAGACUCCUACGGGAGGCAGCAGUGAGGGAUAUUGGUCAAUGGGGGAAACCCUGAACCAGCGACGCCGCGUGAAGGAAGAAGGUCUUCGGAUCGUAAACUUCUAUCCUUGGUGAAGAUAAUGACGGUAGCCAAGAAGGAAGCCCCGGCUAACUACGUG